AGCGAACGCUGGCGGCAGGCCUAACACAUGCAAGUCGAACGGAUCCUUCGGGAUUAGUGGCGUACGGGUGAGUAACACGUGGGAACGUGCCCUUUGGUUCGGAACAACUCAGGGAAACUUGAGCUAAUACCGGAUGUGCCCUUCGGGGGAAAGAUUUAUCGCCAUUGGAGCGGCCCGCGUCUGAUUAGCUAGUUGGUGAGGUAACGGCCCACCAAGGCGACGAUCAGUAGCUGGUCUGAGAGGAUGAUCAGCCACACUGGGACUGAGACACGGCCCAGACUCCUACGGGAGGCAGCAGUGGGGAAUCUUGCGCAAUGGGCGAAAGCCUGACGCAGCCAUGCCGGGUGAAUGAUGAAGGUCUUAGGAUGGUAAAAUUCUUUCAGCGGGGACGAUAAUGACGGUACCCGCAGAAGAAGCCCCGGCUAACUUCGUG
rnacentral:rRNA from 1 species